AACGAACGCUGGCGGCAUGCCUAACACAUGCAAGUCGAACGAACCCCUCGGGGUUAGUGGCGCACGGGUGCGUAACGCGUGGGAAUCUGCCCUUUGCUUCGGAAUAACAGUUAGAAAUGACUGCUAAUACCGGAUGAUGUCUUCGGACCAAAGAUUUAUCGGCAAGGGAUGAGCCCGCGUAGGAUUAGGUAGUUGGUGGGGUAAAGGCCUACCAAGCCGACGAUCCUUAGCUGGUCUGAGAGGAUGAUCAGCCACACUGGGACUGAGACACGGCCCAGACUCCUACGGGAGGCAGCAGUGGGGAAUAUUGGACAAUGGGCGCAAGCCUGAUCCAGCAAUGCCGCGUGAGUGAUGAAGGCCUUCGGGUCGUAAAGCUCUUUUACCAGGGAUGAUAAUGACAGUACCUGGAGAAUAAGCUCCGGCUAACUCCGUGCCAGCAGCCGCCGUAAUAC
rnacentral:rRNA from 1 species